AAAAACUUAGGUUAAUAAAACCAAGAGCCUUCAAAGCUCUAAAUAAGGGCCCACCUCCCUUAGUUUUUG
rnacentral:tRNA from 1 species